UGGAAGUCGGAACCCGCUAAGGAGUGUGUAACAACCCACCUGCCGAAUGAACUAGCCCUGAAAAUGGAUGGCGCUGAAGCGGGUCACUUAUACUCGGCCAUCAGGGCAAGAUGUAGGGCCUGAUGAGUAGGAGGGCGUGGGGCUUGUGAUGCAUCCUUGGGCGUGAGCCCGGGUGAAACAGGCUCUAGUGCAGAUCUUGGUGAUAGUAGCAAAUAUUCAAAUGAGAACUUUGAAGACUG
rnacentral:rRNA from 1 species